AUUCAACUGAUGUGUCCUAAACAGGACUCAACACGCGUCCUGGAU
rnacentral:hammerhead_ribozyme from 1 species